rnacentral:snoRNA from 7 species
UGUAUUUGUGAUGAUCACUGGUGCCAGAUGAGUUAUGCAUCAUGGUCACAGGUCUGCGAGUCCGAGGUCCAC